rnacentral:rRNA from 1 species
UACGAAGGGGGCUAGCGUUGCUCGGAAUGACUGGGCGUAAAGGGCGCGUAGGCGGAUCUGACAGUCAGAUGUGAAAUUCCCGGGCUCAACCUGGGGGCGGCAUUUGAGACGUUGGGUCUGGAGUGGGGAAGAGGGUCGUGGAAUUCCCAGUGUAGAGGUGAAAUUCGUAGAUAUUGGGAAGAACACCGGUGGCGAAGGCGGCGACCUGGUCCUUGACUGACGCUGAGGCGCGAAAGCGUGGGGAGCAAACAGG